rnacentral:tRNA from 1 species
GGGGUGGUUGCGCAGUUGGCUAGCGCGUAUGUCUCAUACCUUUUCUUUGAGUUAUCUUUAGGUCGAGAGUUCGAGCCUCUCUCACCCCA